UACGAAGGGUGCUAGCGUUGCUCGGAAUCACUGGGCGUAAAGGGCGCGUAGGCGGCCGAUCAAGUCAGGGGUGAAAGCCUGUGGCUCAACCACAGAAUUGCCUUUGAUACUGUUCGGCUCGAGACCGGAAGAGGUAAGUGGAACUGCGAGUGUAGAGGUGAAAUUCGUAGAUAUUCGCAAGAACACCAGUGGCGAAGGCGGCUUACUGGUCCGGUUCUGACGCUGAGGCGCGAAAGCGUGGGGAGCAAACAGG
rnacentral:rRNA from 1 species